UACGUAGGGCGCAAGCGUUGUCCGGAAUUAUUGGGCGUAAAGAGCUCGGUAGGCGGUCUGUCACGUCGGCUGUGAAAACCUGGGGCUCAACCCCGGGCCUGCAGCCGAUACGGGCAGACUGGAGGUAUGCAGGGGAGAACGGAAUUCCUGGUGUAGCGGUGAAAUGCGCAGAUAUCUGGAAGAACACCAAAGGCGAAGGCAAUGUUCUGGCUCGUUUCUGACGCUCAGGUGCGAAAGCCAGGGGAGCGAACGGG
rnacentral:rRNA from 1 species